rnacentral:rRNA from 1 species
UAACACGUAAACAACCUGCCUUCAGGAUGGGGAUAACAGACGGAAACGACUGCUAAUACCGAAUACGUUCCACGGGCCGCAUGACCUGUGGAAGAAAGGGUAGCCUCUACCUGUAAGCUAUCGCCUGAAGAGGGGUUUGCGUCUGAUUAGGCAGUUGGUGGGGUAACGGCCCACCAAACCAACGAUCAGUAGCCGGUCUGAGAGGAUGAACGGCCACACUGGAACUGAGACACGGUCCAG